AGUAAAUAGAUACCCGGGUAGUCCACGCCGUAAACGAUGGGCACUAGGUGCUGGGGGGAGCGACCCCUUCAGUGCCGCAGCUAAACGCGAUAAGUGCCCCGCCUGGGGAGUACGGCCGCAAGGCUGAAACUCAAAGGAAUUGACGGGGGCCCGCGCAAGCGGUGGAGCAUGUGGUUUAAAUUCGAAGCAACGCGAAGAACCUUACCUAGGUUUGACAUGUAGCUGAAAGCCUCUGGAAACAGGGGCCCUUCUUCGGAACAGCUACACAGGUGCUGCAUGGCUGUCGUCAGCUCGUGUCGUGAGAUGUUGGGUUAAGUCCCGCAACGAGCGCAACCCUUGCCCCGUGUUACUAACAGGUAAAGCUGAGGACUCUCGGGGGACUGCCGGCGUCAAGCCGGAGGAAGGUGGGGACGACGUCAAGUCAUCAUGGCCCUUACGCCUAGGGCGACACACGUGCUACAAUGGCGAGGACAGAGGGCAGCGAAGCGGCAACGUGAAGCGAAUCCCAG
rnacentral:rRNA from 1 species